rnacentral:rRNA from 1 species
AUGGUUCUACGAUCUCCUGUGUUGCUGCAUCUUGGUCUUCUGUUGCUUGAGCCUAAUUUAUCCACAAAAGGAACUGCCGCGUUUGUUUCUGUGCAUCAGCAGUCGAACUCAUUCUUCCAAUUGGCUGGAACAACGUCGUUUCUGCAGAUGGCGAAAUCGUCAGACUACCUUGCUACAGUGGUAGCACCUGACAUCGACAGCUGCGACGUCAGGAACUCCCUCGCAAUUGCCGAAUAUGUCGCUGAAAUUUACAGCUUCUACAGACGGACCAAGAAAAUAGUAGAGAUCCUGCUCAACGGUGUUGUACUUGUACAUACUGAAAUUGUAGGCCAGACAGUCUACAAGAUGAUCAGGAUGAAUGUAUCUCCAGGAAAACUAGAGAACAUGUUAGUUGGGCCGGCCCAGGACGGAGGGCUGCAGGCGGCCGUUUGCCAAAUACAUACAAACGGGCGCCUGAAGCGCUAA